CCUACGGGACGCAGCAGUGGGGAAUAUUGCACAAUGGGGGAAACUCUGAUGCAGCGACGCCGCGUGAGCGAAGAAGUACCUCGGUAUGUAAAGCUCUAUCAGCAGGGAAGAAAGUGACAGUACCUGACUAAGAAGCCCCGGCUAACUACGUGCCAGCAGCCGCGGUAAUACGUAGGGGGCAAGCGUUAUCCGGAUUUACUGGGUGUAAAGGGAGCGUAGACGGCAGCGCAAGUCUGAAGUGAAAUCCCAUGGCUUAGCCAUGGAACUGCUUUGGAGACUGUGCAGCUGGAGUGCAGGAGAGGUAA
rnacentral:rRNA from 1 species